CUUUUCUAUUUUUACACUUUAUAAGAGGGUUUUAUUGCUCUAAUAGAUCUCAAUUCUCGUUCUCUGGGUUCACCGCCUACUGCAUCUU